rnacentral:lncRNA from 1 species
UUACCUCUAGUCUCAGUCGCUGCAACUCCUUAAGUAACAGUCUCUACUGAGUUAUUAACAUACUAAAACUCUGUACUGACUUCCUGCUCAACGCAUCUACCACCACAUUCGCUUUGCCGGGUGAUAUUGAAUGCUCAUAUCAUAAUCCUUCAAUAACUCUAAUCAUAGGCAUUGCCUCAGGUUCAACUCCUUCUGGGUGAAUAGACACUUGAGAUUUUUAUGACCUGUAAAGAUCUCACAGUGCUCACCGUACAGAU